GCAUAUCAAUAAGCGGAGGAAAAGAAACCAACAGGGAUUGCCCUAGUAACGGCGAGUGAAGCGGCAACAGCUCAAAUUUGAAAUCUGGCUUUCGGGCCCGAGUUGUAAUUUGUAGAGGAUGAUUUUGAUGCGGUGCCUUCCGAGUUCCCUGGAACGGGACGCCAUAGAGGGUGAGAGCCCCGUCUGGUUGGAUGCCAAAUCUCUGUAAAUCUCCUUCGACGAGUCGAGUAGUUUGGGAAUGCUGCUCUAAAUGGGAGGUAUAUGUCUUCUAAAGCUAAAUACCGGCCAGAGACCGAUAGCGCACAAGUAGAGUGAUCGAAAGAUGAAAAGCACUUUGAAAAGAGAGUUAAAAAGUACGUGAAAUUGUUGAAAGGGAAGCGUUUAUGACCAGACUUGGGCUUGGUUAAUCAUCUGGGGUUCUCUCCAGUGCACUUUUCCAGUCCAGGCCAGCAUCAGUUUUCGCCGGGGGAUAAAGGCUUCGGGAAUGUGGCUCCCCUCGGGGAGUGUUAUAGCCCGUUGUGUAAUACCCUGGUGGGGACUGAGGUUCGCGCUUCUGCAAGGAUGCUGGCGUAAUGGUCAUCAACGACCCGUCUUGAAACACGGACCAAGGAGUCGUCUUCGUAUGCGAGUGUUCGGGUGUCAAACCCCUACGCGUAAUGAAAGUGAACGCAGGUGAGAGCUUCGGCGCAUCAUCGACCGAUCCUGAUGUUCUCGGAUGGAUUUGAGUAAGAGCAUACGGGGCCGGACCCGAAAGAAGGUGAACUAUGCCUGUGUAGGGUGAAGCCAGAGGAAACUCUGGUGGAGGCUCGCAGCGGUUCUGACGUGCAAAUCGAUCGUCAAACAUGGGCAUGGGGGGCGAAAGACUAAUCGAACCUUCUAGUAGCUGGUUUCCGCCGAAG
rnacentral:rRNA from 1 species